AACCUCCGCAAUGUGAGAAAUCGCGACGGGGGGAUCCCAAGUGCCAUUCUUAACGGGAUGGCUUUUCAUUAGUGUAAAGAGCUUUUGGAAUAAGAGCUGGGCAAGACCGGUGCCAGCCGCCGCGGUAACACCGGCAGCUCUAGUGGUAACAAUUUUUAUUGGGCCUAAAGCGUCCGUAGCCGGUUUAAUAAGUCUCUGGUGAAAUCCUGCAGCUUAACUGUGGGAAUUGCUGGAGAUACUAUUAGACUUGAGACCGGGAGAGGUUAGAGGUACUCCCAGGGUAGAGGUGAAAUUCUGUAAUCCUGGGAGGACCGCCUGUUGCGAAGGCGUCUAACUGGAACGGUUCUGACGGUGAGGGACGAAAGUUAGGGGCGCGAAACCGGAUUAGAUACCCGGGUGGUCCUAACUGUAAACGAUGCGGACUUGGUGUUGGGGUGGCUUUGAGCUGCUUCAGUGCCGAAGGGAAGCUGUUAAGUCCGCCGCCUGGGAAGUACGGUCGCAAGACUGAAACUUAAAGGAAUU
rnacentral:rRNA from 1 species